rnacentral:lncRNA from 1 species
AAAAUAUUUUUUAAAAACCCAAUAAAAACAAUAUAACAAUAAAAACUAAUGUAAAUAAAACAAUAUAGUAUUAACUAUUUACAUAGUAUUUACAUUGUAUUAGGUGUUGAAAGUUAUAUAAAGAGGAUUUAAAGUAUAUGGAAGGAUAUGUAUAAGUUAUGUGCAAAUACUGCACCAUUUUAUAUCAGCGAUUUGAGCAUCUGUGGAUUUGAUAUCUAUGCGGGUCCUGGAACCAAGCCCCCAUGGAUACGGAAGGACAAUUCUAUCACUCAGAGAUUCUGAAUUCUGGACUUUGAGCUCAAUGCCAUGACUGAGGAAGACCACGGGGUUUUCUCUCUUAGAGGGGAGGAAUCCUUGAUAUUCUUCAUUCCAAUUGUUCACCUCUACUGUAGGGCUCAGUAAACACUUAAGGAAGUUGCCGUGCACUGCAGCCUGCCGGAGACAUGAAGGAAUGUACGGGAGGAUAAUCGCAACAUCAUCAACCCAAUUCUCCAAGUAAUUUGCCAUGGGACAGGCACACCCCAUGUGUUUGGGAAGACAAUGGGAAGGUUCUGUUUUCUGCUCCAAGACUGAUUCAACCAGUUGGAUCUGGAAGGGGAUAAAGGGCUGUGUGGCUGCUUGAUUUUCAUUGUCUAGUGGCAGCCAAAAUUGGAAAAGAGAGAAGUGCAGACUUUAAAGACAAGCAGCGACAGCUCAUCAGCAGUCUAACAACACGACAGAUGACAGGCCCAGAGGCACACCCAGGGCCGCCAGCCCAUCACCCUGUGCAGGAUGUCAAAGAGCAGCUGCAGCAAAGGAAGAAGAUCAUCCAGACUUAAAUGUUUGGGCCUUGCUAAGACCAUAGAGUCUUUGUGCUUUGGAAACAGUCCUCCAUACAAAGACCCCUUCCUAGAAAAGAGUGGAAAGAAACCAAGGUGGAAUGGAUACAACAGAAAGGAGACCAUGCUAAUAUUCUUGUGCAAUGCUUCCUGGGCAGAAAUUAUGUCAUAAAGGAUGUUCCAUUCUGCAAAGCUAUGUGUCUCUCUGUGGUUUGCCUCAGAGGAGGGGCCUUUCAUAGCUGUAGUGAGUAAGGGGGCCCUUGCUGAUGUUCAUCAGAUAUGCCAAGGCACAGGAAGAAAGCAUUGAGGUCACAGGGCAGCUCAGGUCCGCCUGUGGUAAUUGAAAACAGGUGACGAGAUUGGGUUGAUUUUAUUUUGGAAAAGUAAAUUAGUGCUGCACCACUCGGACAUGGCUAAUUCAUGAAGCCUCUGGUUUGUAUUAGACACCCAACAUGCCUUUCAGAAAGAAAUGACACAACAAUUAAUGUGUCAAAUAAUAAUGUGCCACUCGGAGAAAGAUAAUUGUACCCAUCGUCAGGUAGUUAUUAGGUCGAACGAAUGCUCAUCCUUUCAAAGGCAACAGCGUCUAUUCAUUCUGGCAUCCUACUGUAAGUACAGUAUUGUGUUCAUAAUCACACAGACUGAAGCCAGGAACACUGGGUUUUAUCUGAUUUUUCUCCAUUUGGAAUUGUACUCCGAUGAUUCCCUAAACAGCAAACUCAGUCAUGUGAAACACAAAUGAGUGUGAUGAAAGACAGAUUGUUAUACUGCAGGAGAGGCUUUCUGUGCUUUUCACAUAAUAUAGAGCAUGAGGACUGUUCCCAAGAAGGUUUAAGCAUAUGUAACAAAAACUACCAGACCUGAAUUUGCUCAUGUGUAAAUGAUAGUCUUUCCUUCUGGUGAUUUAAUGCAUGAGGACAUCAAUCAGUCACAUCAUGGCCUCAGAAGUCCUUGUUCAAUUUCUGAUGCCAUAACUUACUCGAUGUGGGAUUUGGACAAGUCAUUUAACUUCACUGCAAUUCUGUUUCCCUCAUUUGAAAAAUAGAAAUAGAAAAGCCUGCUGUAUAUUUAGGUCCACAUCUGUUGGGGAGGUCAAAGAAGAAAGAAUAUGAAAAGUUGUUUGUAAAUAUAAAGAACCAUGUAAAUAUAAGACAUUGUUUUAUUAAUGCUCCAGAUCAAUUAACUUUCAGUGAAUGAUAAAAUGUGACAUCUUUUCAACAGAGACAGUUUUACUUAAGAAAAACUAGGCAAUGGCUUCUGUCCUUACAAAUGAAAAACUUCAUAAUAAAUGGGGGCUCUCAAGACCACCUGGCCAAAACUGAACUAAAUACUCACUUCAUUCAACCAAGAAUGAGGAACUGAAAUACAUGAUUAUUAUAUAUGCAUAUGCUUCUGUUUCAUCUACUUGGGCAUGCUUGUGAUGAGAUAUGAAAAAUUAGCCAUCUUUAGAAGGAAAGAAAUAUUGUAUUUGGGGGUAUUUCUUCUGUACAGACAAUUGGCCUGGUUAUUGUCUAAAGGUAUUUAAAAUUAAUAAAAUGCAAUUUUAUGCUACA